AUUCCGAUAGACUAGUGUAAACACCUCCUAAUAAAAAUACCUAUUCAUUGAAUUUUUUUACAAGUGUAGUACUGUACUGAAAUUGGAUAAGUUGUUGAAGAUAUUAAAAAAAAUAUUAAUAAGGAAAAUGAAAGUGGUGUUAUUGAGUGUAAAUCAUAUUUUUUGUACUAUUAUAUAAUUAUAUUCAAUGAACUCAACUUUUGGGAAGUAAUAAGACAAAUUAUUAUGCGCUUCCUUUUUACUGUUUGCAAAACUGGAGUUAUUUCAUAUUGAACAUAUCGUUUUUGAAAUUUUUAAUCAGGAGCAUAUGAGAUAAAACUACGUAUUUAUUUAUAAGUAAAGUUUCGUGUAACCUUGUAGUAAUGAUGGAAGUAUCUAAUGAAAUAAAAGAAGAUAUUCGUAAAACUCAAUCGGACUUGAAAAACGCGAUACGAGUUCAUCAGAUUUGGGUUGCGCGAUUACAAGAAGACGAGAAUAAUAUUCAUCUAAAGUCAAAAGUUAAAGAAGCUGAAAAAGAAAUUAUUGCCAUAGGGCAAACUCAGAAAUUAGUAGUAGAAAGAUUGCGAAGAGAGUUGGAACUCUAUCAACAACGCCUUAAGGCUAGAAACAAACAAGUUAACAUUGAAAACGAUAAUCGAUAUGUAGCCCAGCAGUUAAGAGACCAUCAAAUACAAUUCCGUAGCAGAAACAGAACAGUUUCCCUCCUCAAACCGUCAGUGCUCAAUGAAAUACAUAUUAAAACGGAAAACAACAAAGAUGAAAUAAAAGAAAAUAUAUCUGAUUCAGAAAACGAGAUCAAGUCUUCCAAUGAGAAAGAGAAUUCAAAUAAUAGUGAAAGUGAUGAGAAAGAAAAGUUUUCAAGUAAUUUUACCCAGUUGCCAAAUACUGUACAUGAUAGUAGAAGUAAUUUUGCGAAUGCACUUAAUAAGGUUAAGGAGUCCUUUAUUGAUAACAAGAAUGAACAUAAUGGCGAAUGGCAAGAGCACAGGUCUGAUUCUGAUUCGUCAAGGUGUGCGGAGCUGUCACCGACGCCUUCGCCCCCGCCGCUACCCGGGCCGGGGGAACCUGUAUCACAGGAGACAUUUUUGAGGCUUAUAGGUUUAGUGACACCAUUACAAAAAGAAUUAUUGGAGAAGAAAAGAAGUGAGCGCCGCAAAAGGUCCACAACUAGUACAAACAGAAAUGAUUUCUUAUAUGGAAAUUUUGAUAUGUUACCUAAACGUAAGAAAUAUAAUCAGUUUCCGUACCUUCAAACACACAACGAUCCGCCGCAAAACCCGUUCCGCUAAAUUAAGAAAACAGCAAAGCCAAAAUAAAUCGUCGCGCGAGGGGUCACCUUCGGGGUCGUCGACAGAGAAUAAAACGUGGAGUAACAACAAGCCGGCGUGGGUCGCGUCAUUGCCGCCCAGCCUGUCGGUGGAGCCGGUGUACUCGCCAGCGAAGAAAGUUUGUCACGGGUGCGGGAGAAAUGACGUGCCGUCGCUGCUGGUGUGGUGCGCGGGCUGCAGCGUGUGGCAGCACACGGGCUGCGGCUCGCGCGGGCGGUGCGCGGUGUGCGGCGCGGCGCUGCCCGACCCGCGCACGCGCACGCGCACGCGCACGCGCACGCGCACGCGCACGCGCACGCGCACGCGCACCUCGCCGCACACCACGCCGCGCCCUCCGCGACGCCCGCGCCCGACCCCGACCGAGACAUAGACCACGACGCCAGUCUGUUUAGAGAUAAACUGGCCGAGCGUAAAAGUCUACAAGAAAAAAAUAUAAAGCUAUGUGUAGAACUUCGCAAGUUAGAAACCAGAGCGGCAACGCUAAAGGCCAACCUGGAUGAGCACAAUGCAGAGAAGCGCCAGCUGUUGGCUGAUCAGAUCAAGACACAGAGAAACCUUCAGAAACUUCUCGACUUCAUCAGUCAAUUUAAGGAGACGUCUAUCAGUAUCCGUUCAACGUCCAUCAGUGAAUCCGGCAGUGAGAUCAGUAAAAGUAAUGAAGAAUGAAGUUGUUGAAAGUACUGAAGCUGUGUGUCUGUGUCUCCUUUGGGUCGAAAUUGUGUGGUUCAGGCAUGUUCAAGUAUUACGUAAACAAUUAAUCUGUGAUUUAUACCACUACCUCCUUUUCCAAAUGGUUAAACGCAUUUGCUUUUAUCAUUGUAUAGAAUUAAAAUUCAAAACCAACAUUGUUUUUUAUUAUCCGAGUAUUUUAAUCAGCUCAAAUUAAUAACGUAAUUUUAAACAGUUUCGUUUAUUUUUAUUUUAGAAAAAUAAGUGAACAAUCCACUGCCUAAGCCAAUUUAUGUAAUACUUGAAUGGCUCCUUUGUAUAUUGAAGAAAUUGAUUGUAGUUAGUUCAAGAUAUUCGUAGGUUUACUUUUUUAUGAUUAUGUCAUGAAUGAAUUACAUUUUACUUAGAAGUUGUAUUCAGUUGGAUUAAUUUUAGUUUAUUGUUGAAUAUCAAUUUGAGGUUAAAUAUACGUUUUAGAUUUACAUGUGAAUUAUGUUUUAAACAAAAAGCAUAUUAUUUCUAAUAGGGAUGUUGACUGAAAAUUAUUAAAAUAUCUCAUUAAUUGAAAUUGAGGGAAUUUUAUUGGCAUUAAGGCGAUUUUUUUAUAGUGAUUUGAAAUUGUUUCGAAACGUGACGUCACUGAUCGAUCUUGCGGUCUUUGUCUAAUGCCGAAUUUUUUAAUUGUUACAUAUUGUCAACUUUAAAGAUAUAUCGUUUUUACUGCAUUUGAGUAAUAAUUGGUUACAGUUUUAUUUUUAUUUUUUUUUAUAAUAGUCAUAAUCCCUAUUUUAUAUUAGAUACCCAUCGAUUUACAAUAAGUUUAAAUAAAGUUAGUUUAUAUUGUUUGUGUUGGAAAAUAAUAUUGUUGAAUAAAAAUCACAAAAUUAUAAGUACUGAAUUAGUAAAAAUGAUUAAUUGUACCUCAGAUAAAGAUCGAAUUACGUGUUGAAAUAUAAAAGAUUGUUGAAUUAUAAUAAGCAAUAUUCACGGAGGUUGAUUGCGGUGCGUACGCGCCGAAAAAUUGGCAUUCCGUGUUUGAGGUAGAUCAUUUAUAUUAAAUGAAACGAAAAGAAAUACGCCAAAAGCGAAGUGUUCAGUAUUUGAUUCUUAAUUUUGAAGAAUAUAUGUGUAGUGUUUGUUGUUAGUGUAAUGAUUUUGUUCGUAGUUACGCCUGUUUUGAGUGUUUUGUCACAUUACUCCUCCGUCCUUUUCUAUAUGGUAUCAUUGGAAAGGAAUGUAAGAGUUGUUAAAUCAUAAUUAAAAGGCGUUUACUGACGCGGCGGUUAGUAUAAAGUUUAAUCAAAUCUUAAUUGUUCUCUGUGAUAUCAUUAGGUUUUCCUAGGUUGUUGAUACAUACAAAAGUACUUUGUACAGGUGAACCAAGUAUGUAAAUAAAUAUUCAUAAAUUGAUA
rnacentral:sRNA from 1 species